GCAAAUCAGUGAGUUAGCUCAUAGGCAGCCCGCCACCUCUGAGACCUCCCAACCACCCAGUAACCUUUCUACUACUAGUGGAUUUGUUCAACCUACCCUGGAUCCUCGAGAACCCCUCUUACCUCCUCCGGAGCAUUAUGCAGGCAAUCCUGGUACCUGCUGGGCGUUCCUUUCCUAGUGCUCCCUCAUUUUCAAACUCUAGCCCUCUUCAUUCCUGUCGGACCGAUCGAAGAUAGCGUAUUUAAUCACGCUCAGUGGGAGCAGCAAUCCACUGUGUGCCAUAGCCUGAAGGAAUUCAUGGCAGAAGUGAAGGUUUUCAAUUCUCCGGUGCCUUGGAGUGAGGUGGCUCGAAAACUACUGCGACUACAAGCUCCCAGCUCGGGAAAUACCACGGGACCUCGAUUCUCUCAUCGCCCUGGCGAUUAGGAUUGAUGGGCGCCUACGAGAACACCGGUGUGAGAGGAUGUCGGGUCUCGGAAACACUCGUACGUCUGCUGAUGCUGGUGCCCAUCCGAAGGAAUCUGGAAAUCCCCGAAGUUGGAAUUUCCGAGGAGAGCUGAAAACACCCGAGGUUCCCAGAGAAUCAUCGGCGACGGGCCACUGCAUGCUGUGACAUGGGCCUGGAUGAUCACACACAUCUUCUUCAAGCUUACUGAUUGAAUACUGGGGCCUUCAGUGGUUCCGGAAGCAAGGGCCCUACCUAGGAGUACAGCAACUGUCUCUCUGUCUCACA
rnacentral:lncRNA from 1 species